AGCGGUGAAUUCAAGCCCCGGUAAACGGCGGUGGUAACUAUAACCAUCCUAAGGUAGCGAAAUUCCUUGUCGGGUAAGUUCCGACCUGCACGAAUGGCGUAACGACUUCCCCACUGUCUCGACCAGGAGCUCGGCGAAAUUGCAGUACGAGUAAAGAUGCUCGUUAAGCGCAGAAGGACGAAAAGACCCCGGGACCUUUACUAUACCUUGGUAUUGGCAUUAGGCGCGGAUUGUGUAGCAUAGGCGGGAGGCUUCGAAGCGGGUGCGCCAGCAUCCGUGGAGCCGCAGGUGAAAUACCGCUCUGUUCUCGUUUGAUGUCUAACCUCGACAAGUCAUCCUUGUCAGGGACAGUGCCUGGCGGGUAGUUUAACUGGGGCGGUUGCCUCCCAAAGAGUAACGGAGGCGCUCAAAGGUCCGCUCAGCCCGGUUGGCAAUCGGGUGUCGAGUGCAAUCGCACAAGCGGGCUUGACUGCGAGACCGACGGGUCGAGCAGGGACGAAAGUCGGAGAUAGUGAUCCGGUGCCGGCGUACGGACGCGGCAUCGCUCAACGGAUAAAAGGUACCCCGGGGAUAACAGGCUGAUCAUUCCCAAGAGUCCAUAUCGACGGGAUGGUUUGGCACCUCGAUGUCGGCUCGUCGCAUCCUGGGGCUGGAGCAGGUCCCAAGGGUUCGGCUGUUCGCCGAUUAAAGCGGCACGCGAGCUGGGUUCAGAACGUCGUGAGACAGUUUGGUCUCUAUCCUCUGCGCUCGUCGGAACCUUGAGGAGGCCUGCCCAUAGUACGAGAGGACCUGGGUGGACGAACCUCUGGUAUGCCAGUCGUCACGCCAGUGGCGCGGCUGGUUGGCUACGUUCGGAAGGGAUAACCGCUGAAAGCAUCUAAGCGGGAAGCCUGCUCCAAGAUAAGGGUUCCAUGCGCCUUCGGGCGCUGCAGUCCCCAUGCAGAACACGUGGUUGAUAGGCCGGACGUGGAAGCCCCGCGAGGGGUGGAGCUGACCGGUACUAACGGACGAGGGGCAAUCUAC
rnacentral:rRNA from 1 species